rnacentral:rRNA from 2 species
CACUGAUGAUUUGGUCGCCAACGAGUGGCGGACGGGUGAGUAACACGUAGGUAACCUGCCCAGAAGCGGGGACAACAUUUGGAAACAGAUGCUAAUACCGCAUAACAACGUUGUUCGCAUGAACAACGCUUAAAAGAUGGCUUCUCGCUAUCACUUCUGGAUGGACUGCGGUGCAUUAGCUUGUUGGUGGGGUAAUGGCCUACCAAGGGCGAUGAUGCAUAGCCGAGUUGAGAGACUGAUCGGCCACAAUGGGACUGAGACACGGCCCAUACUCCUACGGGAGGCAGCAGUAGGGAAUCUUCCACAAUGGGCGCAAGCCUGAUGGAGCAACACCGCGUGAGUGAAGAAGGGUUUCGGCUCGUAAAGCUCUGUUGUUAAAGAAGAACACGUAUGAGAGUAACUGUUCAUACGUUGACGGUAUUUAACCAGAAAGUCACGGCUAACUACGUGCCAGCAGCCGCGGUAAUACGUAGGUGGCAAGCGUUAUCCGGAUUUAUUGGGCGUAAAGAGAGUGCAGGCGGUUUUCUAAGUCUGAUGUGAAAGCCUUCGGCUUAACCGGAGAAGUGCAUCGGAAACUGGAUAACUUGAGUGCAGAAGAGGGUAGUGGAACUCCAUGUGUAGCGGUGGAAUGCGUAGAUAUAUGGAAGAACACCAGUGGCGAAGGCGGCUACCUGGUCUGCAACUGACGCUGAGACUCGAAAGCAUGGGUAGCGAACAGGAUUAGAUACCCUGGUAGUCCAUGCCGUAAACGAUGAGUGCUAGGUGUUGGAGGGUUUCCGCCCUUCAGUGCCGGAGCUAACGCAUUAAGCACUCCGCCUGGGGAGUACGACCGCAAGGUUGAAACUCAAAGGAAUUGACGGGGGCCCGCACAAGCGGUGGAGCAUGUGGUUUAAUUCGAAGCUACGCGAAGAACCUUACCAGGUCUUGACAUCUUGCGCCAACCCUAGAGAUAGGGCGUUUCCUUCGGGAACGCAAUGACAGGUGGUGCAUGGUCGUCGUCAGCUC